rnacentral:lncRNA from 1 species
ACUGCAACAGGAGCAGGAUGGGGCAUCUGGUCUGGUGGGCUUGGAGCAUCCUCUGCCAGCAGAAAGGGGAGAAACAAAAACUUGAAGCAGAAAUGUUAUUUUGGAGGUGAAACUUUGGAUUGAACUGAAUUCAGUGAGAGCUGUCAUUAACGAAGUCUUACCCGAGAGACAGUGCUGCUAUCAGAAGGAGAGAAAGAACCACACCGUGUUACCAUUUGGGAUGACUGCUUCUGCUGCUAAAUGUCAGGCAUUGCAUUCAAUACACCAGGCUUUUUUUUUUUUUCUUUUAAAUUAUCAUCUAGAAAAGUAACACCAGAAUGCCUAGAAUUUCACUAAAAGAAACUUUUGGAAAUUGCUCAAGAAAAGCUCCAGGGAGUACUUUCUCAGAAUGAAAAUCAGUUAAACAGAGCUUUUGAUGUAGAUACAGCCUAAUGGCCUCCAAAGCCUGGAACAGGUAUCUCGUUCCCCUCGUCCUUUCCCAGCUUUUAGCCCUAUGCAUGUAAGAAUGACUUUCAGCAUCUAGCAACAUCCUAAAGCUAUGAGCACAUCAGUAUCGUUGGUUGUUGCCAUCUCCUACAGAACUGAAGAAACGGGAUUUGCUUCAGCGGAGCUUCAUGGGCACAAAGAUCUCCACUCCAGCAAAGAACCUUGCAGGAAGAUAGGACGUGGCAGAAGGUAUCAGUUAUGGCACAGGAGGUGGUGUCCUUCGUCUUGGAGGACCAUACUCUGCUUCCUCCAGCAUGGGAAGAUUGGCAGAAGUCACCAUCACAUUUCAUGGAGCUGAGUCUAGAGGAAGGUGAACUUGAGUUUUGUUUAAGAAGGCUGAAUUUCUUCUUUAGCCCUAUGAAAGAUCAUCUUAAGUCAGCAUCAGUAGUUUCAGCAUCCUCCAGAGCCACAGGAACGGUCGUCUUAAAGGAAUUUAUUCUAACCACAUCACUUAAUACAAUGGUUUCUAAGUAGCAAGGAAAAAAACCAAAACCACGGCACCUCAGUGGAACAAGCUGGCAGAUGUUGACCUUUUACCCAUAACUAUGAUGCCUGUAAUGCUUCUGCAGGAGGGAGCAUUCUAGCCUUACAAGUGUUAAAUAAAUAGGAAUGGCAAACAUGGCA